rnacentral:misc_RNA from 1 species
CCUCCUUUCACAAUUCCUUGUGAUUUAAUUGAUAGCAACAGAUUCAAAGCCUUAAUUUUCACCAACUCCCUGAUUCCCACAAACCCCUCCGAUGCCCAAUAGUGCCAAUUAGCAAUUCAAAAAAUACAAAUCAAUACUUGCAUAUUUACCACAUUAGUAAACAUUCAAUGCACAAAUUCAUGGCUCAAAGCAAAUGAGACUCAAAAACUACUCAUCAUCACUCUGACCU